rfam:Spinacia oleracea cultivar SynViroflay scaffold35101.con0002.1, whole genome shotgun sequence.
AUAGCAGGGAUUGUAUGUAUUGGUAUUAUGUGGUGAUCAUGUGCUUUAUGCUGAAAUAAUUCCCCAUUCCCUGCAACAUUCAUUGUUGAAGAUGUGCAGUUGAGGUUCUUCUCAUCUACGGACAUCUCAACAAUCAUGCCCCCCUAUAUUU